UAAUAGCCUAACACAUAACACACAGAUGUGUGUGCGGGUCGCUACAGUACAGAAUACGAAAUGCUCUGAGACCAGGUUGCGAGAGCUCCAAAAGGUGAACAAAACCAGCAGGCAGCUAGGGAGUGCCAAAGACACUGGCAUGGAGUUGCAGAGGCAGGUUGAAAGCCUUCAGGAACAGAAGGUGGCAUUGCAAUCCAGCGUCCCUGAAGUUGGUAUUUAUAAGUUGAUGCACACAGUGCAGUUUAACUCCGAACCCAUGCACAUAAAAAGGGUUCUGGAUUGGACUGAAGGAGGAAGAGGAUAGAGGGGACCUGGACAUGGCUUGAUGGGACUGAUCUGACUCAGGGGUACUGGGAAGACGGAGAGCCCAAUGACCACUAUGGAAUUGAGGACUUUGCGGCCAUCAAAAUAAAUCCCAUGAAGUUCUGGAAUGAUGCUACUUGUACAAGUGAAAUGCAAUCAAGGAAGGCUUAUAAAUGACUGUAAAAUGUCCAU